GAUAUUUUGGACGUAGCGCUGCCAUAACAAAUACAUUGUUGCCAUAGUGACCGUGUGUUUCUCACAGCCCCAGGAAAACACAACAGUGCGUUACGUGAAAGAAGCAGGACCUCCUAAGUGUUGCUUAAGACUGUAUCAGCAGUGGGAUUUCUUUUUUGUUUUCUUGGUUUAUUUUAGUUCCAUUCUGGCAAGAAUUGGGUUUUCAAGAUGAGCUAAACUGCCCCUGCUCCUUGACAUCUCCUGACCGACGCUGCUGACGUCUGGAUAACGUAACACGUCAAUGAGCGAGAUUGCGUCUCUGCUCUCCUCCAGCGUACUGAGGUGGAUGUUUCCCAAAUGCAAGAAAUGCCCACGAGUGUUUUCUGUAACACCCUGCAGGUGCUAUAAGCACUUUCUCUGGGUCAGUGGCUUUGAACAACAAAGAAGUGACUCUGAUACAAUACAGGGAUUAUCGCCAGUUACCGAACAGAUUGUGGC
rnacentral:lncRNA from 1 species